AUUGAACGCUGGCGGCAGGCCUAACACAUGCAAGUCGAACGGUAACAGGAAGCAGCUUGCUGCUUCGCUGACGAGUGGCGGACGGGUGAGUAAUGUCUGGGAAGCUGCCUGAUGGAGGGGGAUAACUACUGGAAACGGUAGCUAAUACCGCAUAAUGUCGCAAGACCAAAGAGGGGGACCUUCGGGCCUCUUGCCAUCGGAAGUGCCCAGAUGGGAUUAGCUUGUUGGUGGGGUAACGGCUCACCAAGGCGACGAUCCCUAGCUGGUCUGAGAGGAUGACCAGCCACACUGGGACUGAGACACGGUCCAGACUCCUACGGGAGGCAGCAGUGGGGAAUAUUGCACAAUGGGCGCAAGCCUGAUGCAGCCAUGCCGCGUGUAUGAAGAAGGCCUUCGGGUUGUAAAGUACUUUCAGCGGGGAGGAAGGGAGUAAAGUUAAUACCUUUGCUCAUUGACGUUACCCGCAGAAGAAGCACCGGCUAACUCCGUG
rnacentral:rRNA from 1 species